GUAUCUAUAGUUUAAUUGGAAAAACGGUGGUCUCCAAAACCAUUAUUCGAGGUUCAAGUCCUUGUGGGUAUGCCA
rnacentral:tRNA from 1 species